rnacentral:rRNA from 1 species
UUUUCCUACGGGGCGCAGCAGUGGGGAAUAUUGCGCAAUGGGGGGAACCCUGAUGCAGCGACGCCGCGUGAGCGAAGAAGUAUUUCGGUAUGUAAAGCUCUAUCAGCAGGGAAGAAAAUGACGGUACCUGACUAAGAAGCACCGGCUAAAUACGUGCCAGCAGCCGCGGUAAUACGUAUGGUGCAAGCGUUAUCCGGAUUUACUGGGUGUAAAGGGAGCGUAGACGGCUGUGCAAGUCUGAAGUGAAAGGCCGGGGCCCAACCCCGGGAGUGCUUUGGAAACUGUGCGGCUAGAGUGUCGGAGAG